rnacentral:rRNA from 1 species
AGAGUUUGAUCCUGGCUCAGGACGAACGCUGGCGGCGUGCCUAACACAUGCAAGUCGAGCGAGGAGUGUCGGAUAGCUUGCUAUUUGAUAUUUCUAGCGGCGGACGGGUGAGUAACGCGUGAGCAACCUGCCUUUAUCAGGGGGAUAACGCAUCGAAAGAUGUGCUAAUACCGCGUAAGACCACAGCUUCACAUGGAGCGGGGGUCAAAGGAGCAAUCCGGAUAAAGAUGGGCUCGCGUCCGAUUAGCUAGUUGGUGAGAUAACAGCCCACCAAGGCGACGAUCGGUAGCCGACCUGAGAGGGUGAUCGGCCACAUUGGAACUGAGAGACGGUCCAGACUCCUACGGGAGGCAGCAGUGGGGAAUAUUGGGCAAUGGGCGAAAGCCUGACCCAGCAACGCCGCGUGAGGGAAGAAGGGUUUCGGCUCGUAAACCUCUGUCCUAUGGGACGAAGGAAGUGACGGUACCAUAGGAGGAAGCCCCGGCUAACUACGUGCCAGCAGCCGCGGUAAUACGUAGGGGGCGAGCGUUGUCCGGAAUGAUUGGGCGUAAAGGGCGCGUAGGCGGCCUGCUAAGUCUGGAGUGAAAGUCCUGCUUUCAAGGUGGGAAGUGCUUUGGAUACUGGUGGGCUGGAGUGCAGGAGAGGAAAGCGGAAUUACCGGUGUAGCGGUGAAAUGCGUAGAGAUCGGUAGGAACACCAGUGGCGAAGGCGGCUUUCUGGACUGAAACUGACGCUGAGGCGCGAAAGCGUGGGGAGCAAACAGGAUUAGAUACCCUGGUAGUCCACGCUGUAAACGAUGAAUACUAGGUGUGCGGGGACUGACCCCCUGCGUGCCGCAGUUAACACAAUAAGUAUCCCACCUGGGGAGUACGAUCGCAAGGUUGAAACUCAAAGGAAUUGACGGGGGCCCGCACAAGCGGUGGAUUAUGUGGUUUAAUUCGACGCAACGCGAAGAACCUUACCAGGGCUUGACAUCCUACUAACGAAGUAGAGAUACAUCAGGUGCCCUUCGGGGAAAGUAGAGACAGGUGGUGCAUGGUUGUCGUCAGCUCGUGUCGUGAGAUGUUGGGUUAAGUCC